UACGAAGGGGGCUAGCGUUGUUCGGAAUUACUGGGCGUAAAGCGCGCGCAGGCGGUCUUCCAAGUCAGUGGUGAAAGCCUGGAGCUCAACUCCAGAACUGCCAUUGAAACUGUUAGACUUGAGUACGAGAGAGGUGAGUGGAAUUCCCAGUGUAGAGGUGAAAUUCGUAGAUAUUGGGAAGAACACCAGUGGCGAAGGCGGCUCACUGGCUCGUAACUGACGCUCAGGCGCGAAAGCGUGGGGAUCAAACAGG
rnacentral:rRNA from 1 species